CCUACGGGAGGCAGCAGUGGGGAAUAUUGCACAAUGGGCGAAAGCCUGAUGCAGCGACGCCGCGUGAGGGAUGACGGCCUUCGGGUUGUAAACCUCUUUCAGCAGGGAAGAAGCGAAAGUGACGGUACCUGCAGAAGAAGCGCCGGCUAACUACGUGCCAGCAGCCGCGGUAAUACGUAGGGCGCAAGCGUUGUCCGGAAUUAUUGGGCGUAAAGAGCUCGUAGGCGGCUUGUCACGUCGGUUGUGAAAGCCCGGGGCUUAACCCCGGGUCUGCAGUCGAUACGGGCAGGCUAGAGUGUGGUAGGGGAGAUCGGAAUUCCUGGUGUAGCGGUGAAAUGCGCAGAUAUCAGGAGGAACACCGGUGGCGAAGGCGGAUCUCUGGGCCAUUACUGACGCUGAGGAGCGAAAGCGUGGGGAGCGAACAGGAUUAGAUACCCUGGUAGUCCACGCCGUAAACGGUGGGAACUAGGUGUUGGCGACAUUCCACGUCGUCGGUGCCGCAGCUAACGCAUUAAGUUCCCCGCCUGGGGAGUACGGCCGCAAGGCUAAAACUCAAAGGAAUUGACGG
rnacentral:rRNA from 1 species